rnacentral:snRNA from 1 species
GUGCUCCAUUUGGCAGCACACAUAUUAAAGCUAGAAUGUUACAGAGAUUAGCAUGGUCCCUAUGCAAGAAAUUUUUGGUACUCAGCAGUAGAGUGCUUACACUUGU